ensembl:miRNA Mir1187 microRNA 1187
UCAUAUAGUAUUAAACCGAACUGUUUUCCUUAUAGACACAAUUUAUUUUUACACACACACACACACACAUAUAUAUAUAUAUGUGUGUGUGUAUGUGUGUAAAUAACAAUGUUAAAAUAGUA